rnacentral:rRNA from 1 species
GACGAACGCUGGCGGCGUGCCUAAUACAUGCAAGUAGAACGGAGUUGCGAACGGGUGAGUAACGCGUAGGUAACCUGCCUCAUAGCGGGGGAUAACAAUUGGAAACGAUAGCUAAUACCGCAUACUGUGAGAUGGACCUGCGUUGGAUUAGCUAGUUGGUGGGGUAAAGGCUCACCAAGGCGAGGCUACAUAGCCGAGCUGAGAGGGUGAUCUGGCACACUGGGACUGAGACACGGCCCCGACUCCUACGGGAGGGAGGAGGAGGGAAUCUUUGGCAAUGGACGGAAGUCUGACCGAGCAACGCCGCGUGAGUGAAGAAGGGUUUCGGAUCGGAAAGGUCUUUUGUUAGGGAAGCGGUAACUAAACAGAAAGGGACGGCUAACUACGUGCCAGCAGCCGCGGUAAUUC